rnacentral:SRP_RNA from 2 species
GCUGGGCAUGGUGGUGUGUGCCUGUAGUCCCAGCUACUCGGGAGGCUGAGGCACGAGAAUCACUUGAGCCUGGGAAGCAGAGGUUGCAGUGAGCCGAGAUUGUGCCACUGCACUCCAGCCUGGGCAACAGAGUGAGAUUCUGUCUCAA